rnacentral:rRNA from 1 species
GUCUAUGGCCAUACCACCCUGAAUGCCCGAUCUUUUCUGAUCUCAGGAGCUAAGCAGGGUCAGGCCUGGUCAGCGCUUGGAUGG